AGUGAACGCUGGCGGUAGGCCUAACACAUGCAAGUCGAACGGCAGCACAGUAAGAGCUUGCUCUUACGGGUGGCGAGUGGCGGACGGGUGAGGAAUACAUCGGAAUCUACUUUUUCGUGGGGGAUAACGUAGGGAAACUUACGCUAAUACCGCAUACGACCUACGGGUGAAAGCAGGGGAUCUUCGGACCUUGCGCGAUCGAAUGAGCCGAUGUCGGAUUAGCUAGUUGGCGGGGUAAAGGCCCACCAAGGCGACGAUCCGUAGCUGGUCUGAGAGGAUGAUCAGCCACACUGGAACUGAGACACGGUCCAGACUCCAACGGGAGGCAGCAGUGGGGAAUAUUGGACAAUGGGCGCAAGCCUGAUCCAGCCAUACCGCGUGGGUGAAGAAGGCCUUCGGGUUGUAAAGCCCUUUUGUUGGGAAAGAAAAGCAGCAGGUUAAUACCCCGCUGUUCUGACGGUACCCAAAGAAUAAGCACCGGCUAACUUCGUG
rnacentral:rRNA from 1 species